UGGGGAAUAUUGGACAAUGGGGGAACCCUGAUCCAGCAAUGCCGCGUGUGUGAAGAAGGCCUGAGGGUUGUAAAGCACUUUAAGUUGGGAGGAAGGGCAGUUACCUAAUACGUGAUUGUUUUGACGUUACCGACAGAAUAAGCACCGGCUAACUCUGUGCCAGCAGCCGCGGUAAUACAGAGGGUGCAAGCGUUAAUCGGAAUUACUGGGCGUAAAGCGCACGUAGGCUGAUUGUUAAGUCAGGGGUGAAAUCCCAGAGCUCAACUCUGGAACUGCCCUUGAUACUGGCAAUCUCGAGUCCGAUAGAGGUGAGUGGAAUUCCUAGUGUAGAGGUGAAAUUCGUAGAUAUUAGGAAGAACACCAGUGGCGAAGGCGGCUCACUGGAUCGGUACUGACGCUGAGGUGCGAAAGCGUGGGGAGCAAACAGGAUUAGAUACCCUAGUAGUCCCUGAGCGGGCUGGCAAGGCGCAU
rnacentral:rRNA from 1 species